rnacentral:rRNA from 1 species
UACGUAGGGGGCAAGCGUUGUCCGGAAUCAUUGGGCGUAAAGAGCGCGUAGGCGGUCCGGUAAGUCCGCUCUGAAAGUCCGGGGCUCAACCCCCGGGAGGCGGGCGGAUACUGUCGGGCUAGAGUCCGGAAGAGGCGAGUGGAAUUCCUGGUGUAGCGGUGAAAUGCGCAGAUAUCAGGAGGAACACCGAUGGCGAAGGCAGCUCGCUGGGACGGUACUGACGCUGAGGCGCGAAAGCGUGGGGAGCGAACGGG